AUAAUAAUCUAUCCUUCAGGCUUUUUCAAUUAAAAAAUAUUAAAGAGCAAUUCCGAUCAACGGAGAUCAGUACUGAGCAACAAAUUAGCUAGCUCGUUCCAUUUCCUUGUUUCUCCAACAAAAGAAGCAAUCUACGGCGAGCAGUAGUACCUACGACGAAUCAUUGAGCAAGUCCGUUAUUGCUUAUUGAGAAGAAAAGCAUACUGAAACUGAACAAAGAUUUGUACUACUCUACAAUAUGGGCAGUAAUCCACUCUCCACUCGAAUUGAG